rnacentral:rRNA from 1 species
AACGAACGCUGGCGGCGUGGAUAAGACAUGCAAGUCGAACGGGACAGGUAGCAAUAUCUGUCUAGUGGCGAACGGGUGCGUAACACGUGGGCAACAUGCCUGGAAGAGCGGGAUAGCCCGGGGAAACUCGGAUUAAUACCGCAUGUGACAACGGGGCGGCCUCGCCCUGUUUUCAAAGGUGGGGACCGCAAGGCCUGCCGCUUCCAGAUUGGCCCGCGUCCUAUCAGCUAGUUGGCGGGGUAAAAGCCCACCAAGGCGACGACGGGUAGCUGGUCUGAGAGGACGACCAGCCACACUGGAACUGAGACACGGUCCAGACACCUACGGGUGGCAGCAGUCGAGAAUCUUUCACAAUGGGGGAAACCCUGAUGGAGCGACGCCGCGUGGAGGAUGAAGGUCUUCGGAUUGUAAACGCCUGUCAUGAAAGAACAAGCGAUGCGGGUGAACAGCCCGCAAAGUUGAUAGUAUUUCAAGAGGAAGGGACGGCUAACUUCGUGCCAGCAGCCGCGGUAAAAC